rnacentral:lncRNA from 1 species
AUGCUUAUCAGUACUUUUGUGAUUGCUCUCUUAUCCCUAUUUUCAUUGGGAAAAAACUUGUCCUCAUCAGUAACGAAACAGUCAUUCAUUACUAUUCUAAUCUGUGAACACUCACUGUGUGUUGCCCUUAGGAGGCUAGGCUGGCAGAAAAGGGACGGGUCCAAUUUUAAGUGUACCACGAAACCCAGCAGCUGUGCAAGCUCUGAAAAAUGGCUUCACUGCUCUGUGCUCAGGCUCCUCAUCAAACAUCUGGCUUUUAUCACAGAGGCUUCUGGCUGAGAAAUCCAAAUUCAAGCAAAUCCAGCUGUCUCCAGUGUGCUGAUUUAUCAUGUGUUCUUUGUUUCAUAUGAGCUUUGUAUGUGGUCUCUAAACAUUCAUUGCCAGGUAAGAUGAACCUCGUUGGCAGUAGAGUCCUAUACCUUUGGUUUGGAGCAAUGGAAAUAGUGUUGGACUAGGACACAGGAGACCUGGGUCCUUAACCUGCCCCUGUUUUUUAUUAGCUGUGUGACCUGAAAUAAAUUGCUUAAUAUCUCCACUUUCUAUUUUAUUUUAUAAAUGAGGAAACUGCUUUCUGACUUCCUGGCCUUACAAGGUGGUUUUGAGGUAAUUAGGUAACGUGAAUUAGGAAAUUAGGUAAUGUAAAUUAAAGCACUUUUGUUUAAGCACUUUGAACAAAAUGAUACAAGCAGUUAGCACAUUCAAGGACUCAUUAUUGCAGAUAAAACUGGCCAUGGGCUUUUCUUAUAACUCCACUCGGGGCAUGCUGCCAAAUCUAACAAAGUCAAUUCCCAAGCACCUUUUAAAGACUCAUUCACAUACACUCUGCCUUUUGACCUCACCUCCAUACUGAAAUUGUUUUCUUGAAGGUCACCAGUGAUUUUUCUAAUCACUACAUUUAACAUUUACUUUUCCUCAGUUUUCAUCCUCAACUUCUCCAUUGCUAUGAUGCCACUCAUCAUCUACUCCUUGAAAUUUCCUUCCACUUAGGUGAACCUGAACGCUUCAGGCCUCUUUCUGCUGUCUCUAAAUGAUUCUUUUCCACUGAUUUGUUUUUUCUGCUCUUCAAAUAGAGGCAUUCUCCCAGGUUUUGUUCUUGUUCCCCUUCUCUAAGUCCUUGGCAAUUUCUUUUAUUUAAAGUCUUCUUUAAGUUGUGCCACGGUGCCCCUCAGAACCAUCAUGUCCAUUUGAUGUCAGCGUCAUCAUUCCUGCCAUGAUCUACAGACUUGAUCAUGACUCAUUAUAUUGGUAGUCACGGAGGUGAGAAACUUCACCUUCAUUUAGUUUGCUCUUACGCCUCUGUCUCAUCAGUGAUGAAUCCUGCCAAUGUUCCUCCAAAAUAUUCUGACUGCUCCCCUCCCAUCUAGGCCCUCAUACCUCUCACUGGGACUCCUUUAAAACCUCCAACCUAUGGGAGUAAUCAUCCUAAAAGCAGAGCUCCAGUCAUUUCUG